GGUAGCAAUGUUUGGUUAUAAUUAUUUGAAUUUCACAUGAAACGAAAAAAAUACAAGCAAUUGACAAAAAUAAUAAUUACCUACUUUAAAUAAUGCAAAAUGUUAUAUUAUUUAUUUUAUUGCACUUAAUAUUAUACUCGGGCACGUAUAGAAUCAAUAUUAUAUUUAGUCGAAUAAGAAAUUUCGUAUAAUAACGUUCGCCUUCAGACCGCGCCUCAAUCGAUUUUAUAAAGUGCACGUUGCACGAUGCACAUGCGCACUGAUAGUAAAUAUAUCGCUAUACCGUUCUUUAACGAAAAUUGUUUACCUAUAUUAUAUAGUUUGUCGGAAUUUAGUGUUUAAAGCACUACAGAAAUUUAAAAACAACGUAUACACAUGUAACGUUGUUUGCGAACUUUAUUAAUUACGUUUUUGUUAGUCGAAACAAGCCAACUAUACCAGAAUUUAGUUUAAUUGAUUUUUAUUACCAUUUUCGUCAUAUGUCUACAAAUUAAAGAAUAUAAUAAUAAAUUCGGGUGUUUCGUUAAUAAUAUUUAGAACAAAUAUGAAUUUGAAAAAUGUAAAAAAAAUAUAGACAUACUUCGCAUUCUAUGGCGGAGUAUAACGAUAAACUAUUGCUAAUGAAAAACAACUCUGUGUGAAGUUCGAUUAUAUUAUGUGUUCUGAAAGGUGAUAAUACUUACAAUUUUCGUCAAAAUUUGAUAUU